CCGAGCGGAUGCCUCAGUUCGGAACCGACGCCGGUACCCAGCCGGCGCGG
rfam:Rhizobiales bacterium 65-79 SCNpilot_cont_1000_bf_scaffold_432, whole genome shotgun sequence.